AACGCACAUUGCGCUCCUCGGUGUUCCGAGGAGCAUGCCUGUUUGAGUGUCAGUAAAUUCUCAACCCCUCUCGAUUAGCUUCGAGGGGGAGCUUGGAUAGUGGGGGCUGCCAGAGACCUGGACCUUUGCGUCUGGGACUUGGGCUCUCCUGAAAUGCAUCGGCUUGCGAUCGACUUUCGACUUUGCGCGACAAGGCUUUCGGCGUGAUAAUGAUCGCCGUCUUCUGAAGCGCAUGACAGAAGGUCUCGUGCCUCCAACACGUCGACAUCGCCUUCGAUGUCUUCCUUCUUUUAUGUUUGACCUCAAAUCAGGUAGGACUACCCGCUGAACUUAA
rnacentral:misc_RNA from 2 species